CGUCUUAAAUUGGUCGUAAUAAACAUUUCUUCCAAAAGGCACCGUCGCCUGUUAGCACGCCGCCAUUUGUGUGUUGUCGGUGUGUUGGUGAGGCCGGAAAUUAACGCCGAAUUAUUGGUAAUUUGGUUCUUAUAGGUAAAAAUUAGCAUUUUUUAAAUAAUUUAGAUCAUGUUUGUAAAUUUGAAUAGCCUCAACGUUCAUGUGCGUCGGUAUAAAUGUUGAAAUAUCGCGAUAGAAUUUAUGAUGAUUUUGUAGGCUAUCAUGGCGCAUGCUUUCCGCGGUAUAAUAUUUUAAUUAUUUACGAAAUGUAAUGCUAUUUACAGGGUUAUAGUUUAUCUUAAAGUAAAUAAUAGGCCUAUUUUGUUGUUUGGGGCAAUUGUUGAUUAGAGAGACACAUUUAACUGCCCACAGUAGCUAGAAAUGUUAUGGCCUGGCAGGUUGUGCAAAAGUUUGCAGUGUGGCCAUAUCAUUUAUUCAGUCAAUUGUCUGUGCAAGCAGGGACCGAUAGGAUAUAUCUUUUAGUUUUUAAUGAAAAGUUAAAUUUGGGCUUAUGCUAGGUUAUUCAUACUUGCAUUCUAAGUGGCUUUGUCAUGGAUUCAUAGAACAAUAAUAGAAGUGGUGACUGCAAAUGUGUGUUUUUCCACAGCUCAUCAAAGUACCACCUCCUCGCUGUAGCAGUGGGCAUCACCGUCACCUCAGUAUUGCUCAGGAAGCUCGUGAUAAUGGUACCUAUCGUCCUAUGUUGAGGAACGCUCAAUCAAAAAAUGAUAUGAUGAACUUCUUUGGAAUUAAGCGGACUAAGUACAGCUACAUUUGUAUUAUGUGCAUCGCUCAUGCAAGACAGCAGGCCAGGAUGCUGCUGAAUUCAUACAGCUGCAGGGGAUGAGCUGGAGAACCUGCAGCGCAUUCUCCAAGAGACGACGGAAGCCAACGGAGGCCCGCAAAACUUUCCAUCCCAUAAUCGUGAAUGGAGAGCUGGGCGGGGAAGACGCGGUAUUCGUCGAGGCCCAGGAGGUGGUAUCGGCGCCACCAGACCAAGCAUUCCUGCUGUGGCAGGCCGCAUUUUGGAUUUUUAACAUCAAAACUCCUAAAAAUAUGGUCAAUCUGAAUUAGUUUCUGAGAACCAAAGUGUUUGGUGGGGUGAAGGCCGAUGUGCCGCCAUCAGCGGCGGCCAUUGCGACCGUGAAGCAAGUAGAGUGAGAUCCCCGUAGAGCAUGCCGCUGCGGGGUGUCGGAAGCGUUUGCCAAUUCUAUGAGCCUUCCACCGGCAGGACUAUAAAUACACAUUUCUUGAAA